rnacentral:rRNA from 1 species
GAUGAACGCUAGCGACAGGCCUAACACAUGCAAGUCGAGGGGUAUAGUAGCAAUACUAGAGACCGGCGCACGGGUGCGUAACGCGUAUGUAACCUGCCUCACACUGGGGGAUAGCCUUCCGAAAGGGAGAUUAAUACCGCAUAACAUCAAGCGACUACCUGGUUGCUUGAUUAAAGCUUCGGUGGUGUGAGAUGGACAUGCGUAUGAUUAGCUAGUUGGCGGGGUAACGGCCCACCAAGGCGACGAUCAUUAGGGGGUUCUGAGAGGAAGAUCCCCCACACUGGUACUGAGACACGGACCAGACUCCUACGGGAGGCAG